rnacentral:rRNA from 1 species
GCUUGUCUCAAAGAUUAAGCCAUGCAUGUCUAAGUAUAAACAAAUCUAUACGUGAAACUGCGAAUGGCUCAUUAUAUCAGUUAUAGUUUAUUUGAUGGUUCAUACUACUUGGAUAACCGUAGUAAUUCUAGAGCUAAUACAUGCGUCAAAACCCAACUUCUGGGAGGGUUGUAUUUAUUAGAUUUCAAUCAACACUUUUUGCUGACUCAUGAUAACUUAGCGGAUCGCAGAGGCCUCGCGCCGGCGACAAAUCAUUCAAGUUUCUGCCCUAUCAGCUUUCGAUGGUAGUGUAUUGGACUACCAUGGCAUUCACGGGUAACGGAGGAUUAGGGUUCGAUUCCGGAGAGGGAGCCUGAGAAAUGGCUACCACAUCCAAGGAAGGCAGCAGG